GAGUCACUAUCCUCUGCAGGCCCAACACAAGUUAGUCGAACGGAUCCUUCGGGAUUAGUGGCAGACGGGUGAGUAACGCGUGGGAAGCUACCUUGUGGUAGGGAACAACAGUUGGAAACGACUGCUAAUACCCUAUGAGCCCUAUGGGGGAAAGAUUUAUCGCCAUGAGAUGUGCCCGCGUUAGAUUAGCUAGUUGGUAAGGUAAUGGCUUACCAAGGCGACGAUCUAUAGCUGGUCUGAGAGGAUGAUCAGCCACACUGGGACUGAGACACGGCCCAGACUCCUACGGGAGGCAGCAGUGGGGAAUAUUGGACAAUGGGGGCAACCCUGAUCCAGCCAUGCCGCGUGAGUGAUGACGGCCUUAGGGUUGUAAAGCUCUUUCAGCAGUGAAGAUAAUGACAUUAACUGCAGAAGAAGCCCCGGCUAACUUCGUGCCAGCAGCCGCGGUAAUACGAAGGGGGCUAGCGUUGUUCGGAAUCACUGGGCGUAAAGCGUACCUAGGCGGGCUGAUCAGUCAGGGGUGAAAUCCCGGGGCUCAACCCCGGAACUGCCUUUGAUACUGCAGUCUUGAGAUUGAAGAGAGUGAGUGGAACUUCGAAUGUACAGGUGAAAUUCGUACAUAUUCGGAAGAACACCAAUGGCCAAACGCGGGUCACUGGCUCCAUUCUGACCCUUAAGUACCAAAACGUGGGGAGCAAACAGGAUUAAUAUACCCUUGGUGUCCCCCCCCGUUAAACGAUGAAUUCCUUUUUGCCAAGGUACCUUGCUAUUUUUGUGGCCCCAAUUUUACCUUAACCAUUCCCCCUUGGGAGUUCCGGCCCCAAUAAUUAAAACCCUAAGGAUUUUACGGGGGCCC
rnacentral:rRNA from 1 species